UUGAUAGGAGGGUGGCCCUGCCUCUAAAAUUAAUCUCUGAGGGACAUGACACCAAAGCUAAGAGACCAAUCAAGCAGGAGAGACCAGCCUCCCCUGUUCCCAGCUGUGUGUCCAUGAAGAGUGACAAGUCUAUGAUUCUACCUAUACACUUCAGAGAGGGAGACUUUUCUUCUGAACAAAGUCCAAUCAAGCAGGAGAGACCAGCCUCCCCUGUUCCCAGCUGUGUGUCCAUGAAGAGUGACCGGUCUAUGAAGCAACAGUGAGUUAAACAACACUGUCUCUAGUCAUUUCUCUUCUCCCAUUUCCCCAU
ensembl:lncRNA